UUUGGCGAGCCCGUGACAUCGUACCUUUUGUAUAAUGGGUCAGCGAGUUCGUCUGUCUAGCAAGCUUAAGCCGUAAGGCGGAGGCGCAGGGAAACCGAGUCUGAAUAGGGCGACUGAGUUAGACGGAUGAGACCCGAAAGCAAGUGAUCUAGCCAUGACCAGGUUGAAGGUGCGGUAACACGCACUGGAGGACCGAACCCACGCCUGUUGAAAAAGUCGGGGAUGAGUUGUGGCUAGGGGUGAAAGGCCAAUCAAACUUGCAGAUAGCUGGUUCUCUGCGAAAGCUAUUUAGGUAGCGCGUCAUGUAUCACCAUCGGGGGUAGAGCACUGGAUGGGCUAGGGGGCUUCACCGCUUACCAAACCUAACCAAACUCCGAAUACCGAUGAGUGCUGAGCAUGGCAGACACACGGCGGGUGCUAACGUCCGUCGUGAAGAGGGAUAAAAACCCUGACCUACAGCUAAGGCCCCCAAUUCAUGGCUAAGUUGGAAAGGAUGUGAGGUUCCCAAAACAAUCAGGAUGUUGGCUUAGAAGCAGCCAUCAUUUAAAGAAAGCGUAACAGCUCACUGAUCUAAAUAAGGAACUUUGCGCCGAAGAUGUAACGGGGAUUAAGCCAUGAGCCGAAGCUUAGGAUUCACCGCAAGGUGAAUGGUAGCAGAGUGUUCCGUAUGCCUGCGAAGGGUGAGCGUGAGCGAGCCUGGAGGUAUCGGAAGUAAGAAUGCUGACAUGAGUAGCGAUAAAGAGGGUGAGAGACCCUCUCGCCGUAAGUCCAAGGGUUCCUGCGUCAAGUUAAUCUGCGCAGGGUUAGCCGGCCCCUAAGGCCAGGCCGAAAGGCGUAGCCGAUGGGAAUGCGGUAAAUAUUCCGCAGCCUGUGGGAAGUGACGGAUCAAGUAACUUGUUCGACCUUACUGGAUUGGUCGGGCCGGGAAUUGGUCCCAGGAAAUAGCUCCCACUUAUAGCCCGUACCCCAAACCGACACAGGUGGACUGGCAGAGUAUGCUAAGGCGCUUGAGAGAACUGUGUUGAAGGAACUAGGCAAAUUGCCCUCGUAACUUCGGAAGAAGAGGGCCCGGUCUCUACGCAAGUAUUGGCCGGGGGCACAUAGCAGGGGGUGGCGACUGUUUACUAAAAACACAGGGCGCUGCGAAAUCCAAAGAUGACGUAUAGCGUCUGACGCCUGCCCGGUGCUGGAAGGUUAAGAGGAGAUGUGAAAGCGUUGAAUCGAAGCCCCAGUAAACGGCGGCCGUAACUAUAACGGUCCUAAGGUAGCGAAAUUCCUUGUCGGGUAAGUUCCGACCUGCACGAAUGGCGUAACGACUUCCCCGCUGUCUCCAGCAUAGGCUCAGCGAAAUUGAAUUCCCCGUGAAGAUGCGGGGUUCCCGCGGUCAGACGGAAAGACCCCGUGCACCUUUACUGCAACUUUACACUGGCAUUAGGAAUGGGAUGUGUAGGAUAGGUGGUAGGCAUUGAAGCGGAGGCGCUAGCUUUCGUGGAGCCGCCCUUGAAAUACCACCCUUCU
rnacentral:rRNA from 1 species